UGUGUGUGUUAGUGGAAGCGUCUGGAAAGGCGCGCGAUACAGGGUGACAGCCCCGUACACAAAAAUGCACAUACUGUGAGCUCGAUGAGUAGGGCGGGACACGUGGUAUCCUGUCUGAAUAUGGGGGGACCAUCCUCCAAGGCUAAAUACUCCUGACUGACCGAUAGUGAACCAGUACCGUGAGGGAAAGGCGAAAAGAACCCCGGCGAGGGGAGUGAAAAAGAACCUGAAACCGUGUACGUACAAGCAGUGGGAGCACGCUUAGGCGUGUGACUGCGUACCUUUUGUAUAAUGGGUCAGCGACUUAUAUUCUGUAGCAAGGUUAACCGAAUAGGGGAGCCGAAGGGAAACCGAGUCUUAACUGGGCGUUAAGUUGCAGGGUAUAGACCCGAAACCCGGUGAUCUAGCCAUGGGCAGGUUGAAGGUUGGGUAACACUAACUGGAGGACCGAACCGACUAAUGUUGAAAAAUUAGCGGAUGACUUGUGGCUGGGGGUGAAAGGCCAAUCAAACCGGGAGAUAGCUGGUUCUCCCCGAAAGCUAUUUAGGUAGCGCCUCGUGAAUUCAUCUCCGGGGGUAGAGCACUGUUUCGGCAAGGGGGUCAUCCCGACUUACCAACCCGAUGCAAACUGCGAAUACCGGAGAAUGUUAUCACGGGAGACACACGGCGGGUGCUAACGUCCGUCGUGAAGAGGGAAACAACCCAGACCGCCAGCUAAGGUCCCAAAGUCAUGGUUAAGUGGGAAACGAUGUGGGAAGGCCCAGACAGCCAGGAUGUUGGCUUAGAAGCAGCCAUCAUUUAAAGAAAGCGUAAUAGCUCACUGGUCGAGUCGGCCUGCGCGGAAGAUGUAACGGGGCUAAACCAUGCAC
rnacentral:rRNA from 1 species